UCCGGUUUGUCACCGGCAGUCCCGACAGAGUCCCCGACGGCCUUUCGGCCUCGCUGGCAACAGUCGGCAAGGGUUGCGCUCGUUGCGGGACUUAACCCAACACCUCACGACACGAGCUGACGACAGCCAUGCAGCACCUGUCUACGAGCCCCGAAGGGGGGCCCCUGUUUCCAGAGGCUUUCCCGUAGAUGUCAAGCCUAGGUAAGGUUCUGCGCGUUGCUUCGAAUUGAACCACAUGCUCCACCGCUUGUGUGAGCCCCCGUCAAUUCCUUUGAGUUUUAGCCUUGCGACCGUACUUCCCAGGCGGUCGACUAGCACUUUUGCUUCGACCGUGAAGGCGUCAGAGCCACCACGAUCUAGUCGACAUCGUUUACGGCCAGGACUAC
rnacentral:misc_RNA from 1 species